GGCCAGGGACCCGCGGCUCCUGGCGUCAAGGAAGCGGCUGCGGCGUGCUGUGGUCUCCCCGCGGCCGGGCCACCAGGGCCACCUUAAAAACAUCGCUCGCAGUCCAGGCCCCUGGGGGACGGCCAGCCGGGGCCGGGCAGGAGGGAGCGGCCUUGGCCCAGGGCCCACUGGGUGCCGGGCAGGACAGAGGCCCAAGCUCAUGGAGCUGCACGGCCUCAGGGGCGUCACCCCAGAUGGGGAAACCGAGGCUCAGGGAGGGAGGUCGCCAGCUCAGUCUCCUGCUAGGUUGGUGGCAGUGCUGGCAUUGGAGUCCCUGAGCGAGGCCAGGGACUUCGGUUCCCUCUGCUAGGUCCCAGGUCCCUGGUCAGUGCUGUGGCCUCCGCGGAUCCUGACAGGCAGCUCCGUCCUGGCAGCGCUCAGGCCGGAAGCAGCCCCGACUCCCUCCCUCACCUGAGGCCCCUCCGGGCUGCCCCCCAGCGACCCCCAGUCCUCUCAGCCUCCGUCUGGGCCUCCAGCUCCUGCCCGCCCUGGCCAGUCCACCAUGCGGACGUCAGAGCCUAAGAUGGCAGGUGUGGCUGGAGCAGUGUGAGGGGCAUCGAGGGAGGACGCGAGGUCAGAGCGGUGAGGGGUAGAGGACACAGAGCCUUGCCCAGCAUGGGAAGGACCUCCACUCUGACUAGGCCAUCCAAUGACGCAAAGAUGAAGCUCAUCCUAACACUGCACGAGGGACUCGUGUCUGACGUUUCUCGUGAGCUCCAUCAGUCCCGCUGGCGGGGCCCCUAGCAGUCCUUGCUCCUCGCGCCUCUCGUUAAUGCCGCUGCGAACACCUGUGUCCCCAUGAGUGGUUUUUUCCUAAGGACAGGGUCCCAGGAGGCAGCUCCGGGUUCAGAGCUGCUCACACCUGUCACCCGGUGCCCCCAAACAGUCCAGCCGACACAGGAGCCCCUGCCCAGCGGUGAGGACCCAUGGUGGAGCCGGGUCCCGACGCUGGAAUCCAUUCCUCCAGGGCCCAGUCGAGCCCGAGACAGUCCUGCACAGAAACCCCCGGUGAGAGGCUCUUCUCCAUGGUGACCUGCUGCCAGGCCGGGCCUCGGUUUCAAGCCACAGAAUCCGCCACUCUGGUUUACACGGAGGGGACCCACCUGUGGUUCCUGGGUGACUGGUGGCCCCGCGGGAGGCCAGGGGCCAGGACUCCCCAGCCAGGAGCCGGGCUGGGCCGGAGCGAGCGGCCCUCUCUGCCCCAGGGCUCAGCACGCGCCCUGGGACCCGGCUCCCUGUUCAGGGCUCCGUCCGGCAGGACACAUGCCGGUGCCCAGGGCUCGGGAGGCUGGGAGGUGUGUUUUCUGGCUUCUUCCUCGGGACCAGGGCUGUGCUGACCAGAGUCCCCUCAGGGUGAAGGCCAGGUGCGGGCAGCGGGAAGUGGGGCAGAGGUCAGCCGCACAGGCAGAGACUGGCUGGGCCCGCGGACGGCACCUCCUCCUCUCCGGCUCCACGGCAAGGGAACAACGAGGAGAGUCCAGGGACAAGCGUGUCACCCCACCCGGCACCGUGAGGCGGGCCCCAGGCCUGCCCACCCAGGCGUCUGGCCCCACCGUGCCAGGCCACAGCUCCAUGCAGAGGUCACUACCUGGCGAGGUGUGUCCCCCCACCAGGAGGGCCCCGGCAGCCUUAGCCACCGCUGUCCUCCCAGCACCAGGACAGGCCCCGGCAUGCAGUAGGCGCUCAAUAGAUAAAUCCCGGAUGAAUGAAUAAUGAUGUCGGCCUCACCAAUCCGGCCCAGGCUUCCUGAGCACCCGGGGUGCCCAGGCCCUAUCUCAGGAAGGACACAGACCAGGUCCCCUCAGAAGAGGGGACGGACACCCAGGAGGAAGCACAGAGGUUAGCACAGAGGGACAUCACACCGGGGAGGCCGCACAGCCUGGUGGUGGGCGACCUCUACCAACACGGGACACUGGGUGACUCAGAGAUGCUAACGGGGACAAAUGGUUGGGUGUUGUCUCUGAGAAGGUGACACCGGGCGGAGGCCUAGAGCCGGUACCAAGGGAGCCCACCCACGGCCAGGAGGAGCUCCCCAGCGGGGGGCGGAGUGCGGACGGCCGGGCGGGGCUGACCGAGGCCCGCGGACCACAGCAGCCUUCGCUGGCAGAAGCAGCCAAGCUCGCUCAGCGCCUCUGGGACACAUGGCGUGAGGGCCAGGGCACACCUUGGCCUGCCCCAGGAGGCACCGCGCCACGCACCAGCGAAGGGCCAGCCGGAAGGGAAGUACAGCGGGCCGGCUGGGGACCACCGGGCCUUCCCUACAGACCGGCCUCUGAAAACGCACUUCCCAGUGGGGGCAGAAGCUUCCAGAAGCCAGCAAGGUGUCUGCGGUGGCUCCUCCGGCAGACCUGGGAGCGUCCUGUGGACCAAGUGAAAAGCAGACAUUCAGAAACACUCCUUAAGGACCUACUAAGUGCCGCAGGCUGCAGGCAGCACCAGAGAGGCCGAUGUGGCCGUCCCUCCUCCCGGAACCCAUCCUGGGGCACAAACGCCAUCCCAAUCUCCCACAGCUCCAAGGAAACGCCUGGUGCUGUAAGAACGGCAUCGACUGAGGUGGCACAGGGUCGCCCCAGGAGGGCAGCUGCCCGAGAGCCCACUGCCUUUCUGAUCCCCCUUUUCUGGGGGCUUCCCGAGUUUGCCCAGGGCCUUAACCACAGAGCCACAGCCCAGCCCUUUUAUAGCUUAUUUAGACACAGGGUGUCACCAAGUUUCUUAGGGCCUCGUUAGGAUGCUGAGGCCUUGAACUCGAUCCUCCUGCCUCAGCCUCCAGAGCGGCUGGGAUGACAGGCGUGGCCCCCUGCCCGGCAGUUCCUGCUUCUUCCGAUGGUGGCUGGGGUGUUUUUAUGACUGUCAUACUUUAUGACUGAGUGACUUAGAAACAACGAAAUGAAGAGAGGCGAGGGGGGUGCUGGACACCCGGGUCGGAAGAUGACUGGCAGCCAGGAGGACCCCCGAGGACCCACAGCUGCUUGCAAGAGGGGGAAGCCGACUCCGGCAGGAGGGAGCCUGCGCCGCGGCCCCACGCGGACCUCCUGAACGUGCGUGUGUUCCAGUAACAACAGCGGCAGCAAAGGCGUCUUCAAACCAGCUGCGGGCCAGGUGCGCCGAGACCCAGAGGCAGGCGACAGCCCGUCCCAGGGCAGCCGCCGGGCCGAUCCCCAGGGCCUCUUAGGCUGUCCUUUCGGGUGACCGUCUCCUCUUCCUGUCCUCUGCGUCUCCUGUUCUUAGAUCAAGAAAGUCAAGAAGCCAGCACUGCACAGACCACUUCCUGUGGGCGCUCUGCCGGCCGCUGGGCUCUGUCCUCGGACCACGGGCUCAUUUAUCAUCCCCACUUGACAGAUGAGGAAACUGAGCCUGGGGCAAGGCCCCUGCCGAGGUCCCACAGCCGAGUUUGACCAGGACUGUCUGAUCCCAAAGCCUGUUUUUAAAUCGGUGUCCUUCAAAUGUCCUUUGGGAAACCACAUUGCUUUGAAAAUCGAGGGGGGAAACAAACAAACCAAACAAGAAAUAUUACAUUUUUUAACCCACUUGUGAUCUGGGUGGGGCCUGAGCGGGCACGGCGGGGUGGGGGCUCCUGCUUGGGUGGGUGGGGCCUGCCUUGCCCGCUGCCCUCCAGGACCAGCCUCCUCCCGUCUCUGGGACACCCGCAGCCCCCUCUCCGCGAGGACGGCUGGCUGGACGGUUGGUGACCCAGCGCCUGCUGUGCUGUGGACCACCCUGUGGAUCAACCCUCCUGCAGACCUGAGAAGCAAGUGCCUCCAGGGCCUCGUUUUCAGGGAGGGGAGCUCAGAGGGGCUGAGUGACUUGCCUGAGGUCACACAGUAAGACUCCACCCUGCACUUUCGGCCUCUGGGACCAAGCGGGACUUGGACCCGUGGGACCAAGAGGGAGAAGGGAGAGGGUGAGUGGUCCGCAGCCCCCGGCCCCUCUGGGGCUGGCAGAGGCCUGGCCAGGAGGACGGAAGCCCGUGCUGCCUGAGGCCGGGCGGGCGGCCACUGCUGUGGGGCCUGGGAGGCCGCGCACGCCCUCCGCCCGCCUGCCAGCGGCCCGUGGCUGCCCGCCAGCCCCUGCCUGACGUCAGGGUCUGACCAGGGACAAGAUGUGCUGGCGCUGGGACACGGCUGGCUGCAGAGCCAGAGGUGGGGCCGUCAGAGGGAGCUGGCGGGGGAGGAGGGACCAGACGGGAAAGGAGGGAGAGGAGGGAGACCGAGCGCCGGGGUGGACAGGAAGCGGGAAACAGAUGGAGAGAGGGAAGCGGAGGGAGGCGGGAGGGGCGGGCAGGAGGGGAGCUGGGCUGUGCCCUCUGACCCCGCGGCUGGUUCCCGGGAGCAGCGGGGUCGGUCAGAGGGGAGGCGCCGAGCCCCAAGAAGCGGGAGUCACGGCCAUGACGUGCUUGGCAGAGCCCUGCACGUAGUACGUGCUCAAUGAACUGGAGGUGAGCGUGACAGGGGCUGGAGGGAUGGACGGGCAGCCCAGGGCGGGGUGAGGUGAGGGCGGCCCCCUCCCCAAACAGGAGAGCCCGCCCUCCGGCCCUGCGUGACUCAGGCUCACAGACCUUGGCCUGCCCUGGCCUCUCGUGGGGCCCAACCCCCUGUUUAUGGGCUCAAGAAGGCCAUGAUCCCAGGGCCAUCACGUCACCAGAGCCCGGCAAGGCCGAGCCUGGUCACUCCUGGCCUUCCAGCCCCAUCAUCCCUUUUCCAGCUUAAUCAUUAAAUGGCCCAUCAGGGCUGAGGGUGCACCAGGCUGUCUCCUGCUCCCACCUCCCCCAGGGGUCUUGGUCCUCCUCAGCCCCACUUUGAAAUUCCCCUUUACUGAGCACUUACUACGUCCUAAGCACUGCACAGGGUCCACCUGCUCAGUCCCCUCAGGAGCCCAGGGGCCCAGUCAUCCCCUCACAGGUGACAAGCCCAGGCUCCAUGGGACAGCAGGUGCCACCUCCUGAGCAGCCACUGCCGGGCUGUGCAGGAGACUGGCCUCCAACACCAGGGUCCUCCCGGAGGCCACAGUCCUCAACGAGAGCAGCUGCGCCCCAGGAGGGCCUGGCUCUGUCGGGGACGUCUCGGGAGGUCACACUGUUGUCUGGUGGGCCGAAGCCUGGGGUGCUCUACACCCUGAGGUGCCCACAGGCCAUGCUCUGGCCCGGGGCCAGCGUGGCGCGGUCGAGGCCCAGCCAGGAGGGAAGGCCCGCUCUGACCGCCACCCACGGAGCGGGAAACCGGGGUGCAGAGAGGGGGUGCUUGCCUGAGCAGCUGGCCCCACGCCUGCUGCAGCCCCAGACCCAGCCAGUCCCCGCAGCCUGGCACCGCCUGGCCGCUGGCCCUGACGGUCCCGGCUGGCUGGCUGGGUACACGGAGGCCCCGUGAGGACGAAUCCCGAGUCAGGCUGGGGAAGGGGUCGGCCGAGGUCUCAGGACAGGGCGCAGGGGGCCUGCGUGUGCGUCACACCCGCAACAGCACAAGGGACCUCAGAUGCUGGCCGCGGGUGCUCCUGCAGCAAGCGUUUUCUGAGCACCUACUGCGUGCCAGGCCCCAUCCCUGUGCCCGGCAGGGAAGGCUGGGCUGCGGCCACGUGCGGAGGGACGGUCCCCCCUAGAGAGAGCCUCUGAGGUGAGGCCACUCUGAGGAGUGAGGCUGGGAGGACCCGCGAGAAGGAAGGCAGCGAGGCCGGCCCGGGCGGAGGGAGAGGCGUGGGUGGACCCUGCUGGCACCCUGCGUGCGCACUUGCUCUCUCUGCCCUCUGCGAGCAGAGGCGGGACCGUGGGCAGGACCGUGCCCCGGGGUCCUGGAGCCCCAGCCGCGGCUGCGGCCUGGCAUGAAGAGGGGCCCGCUCGCCUGCGCUGGGCCAGCAACGCAAGUGAACCCGCUUUCCACAGGAAGGGGAUGGGAGGCGACUGCUCAGGCGCACGCGGUCACCCACUGUGGGUCCAGGAUUAGAACCCAGAACUGACUCAAAGUGCACACCAAGCGGGUCACCUCCUGCAUUCCAGAACCUUCCGCCCUGUGGGAGCCGCUCUACCCUUCAGGAGGGUCAGACAUCCCAACCAGCACCUCGGGAAACUGCAGGACAACCGGCCAGGGAAACACCGGAGACGGAAGUUCAGAGCGGGUCAGGCUCUUCCCCGAGGUGCACAGCCCCAGCAGAGCGGGGACUCAGCCCCUGCUGGAUCCCUUCCGACCACGGACCCGUCGGCCUCAGGGGCAGAGUAGGCAAAGGUCACACUGCCCAGGGUCCUGGUGGGGCCUGGAGCAAGGCCUCUGAGAAGCAGCAUGGGGUUGGCAUCUAGGCCCCUAGAGUCCAAGGCUAGCUCGGUCACUCCUCUGCUGUGUGGCCUCAGGUGAGUGGCCUCCUCUCUCUGACCUAGGGCUCCUCGGAUAACGCCAACUAAAAUUCUGCACAGUUUAAAAAGCUCUAAAUGUAGUAAAAUAAAAAGAUGUGGCCCGUGUGCUAGCUAACAUUCUAUAUCAGGUUGUAUAGUUUGGGGUAUAUAAAUGUAGUCAUAACAAAAUAUAAUAAACAACUUGAAAAAUUUGACAAUAAACAAGAGUUUAUUUUUCUCUUGUGUGAAUGAAGCCAGGUGGGGACAGCGUAGGGUGCUUGGCAAGUCCACAAAGCCCUCAGUGUCUUGGGCUCCUUCUCCUACCCAACUCUGCCAUCCCUAGGGGAUGCCCUCCUUCUCAUA